GUUACUUGACUGGUACCUCCAGCCCACCAGCAGGCAAUGAUGGCAUCAGACUAGAGGAUCACCAGUAAAUCAUUGUAAACAAGCGUGGAAAGAGAGAAAGUCCACUUUAAGCGAUGGAAAAUCAGCCCCAAUUCUGAAGGAACAACCAUGAACAGAUGAUUUAAGGAGAAUCAAUUCUUUGCUCUUUGCAGAAGGAGCCAACAGAGUGAGAUGAAGGGGACAACUUCAGAUACUCAGGCAGAAGCAUAAGUCCCCACCUGCUGACCUGCUGCCUGCUAUCUUAACACGAAUUCUUCAUCUGAAUGGAUGAGCUUUUCACAGAGUUCCAAACUAAGGAAUCCAGGAGUGGCCAAUCCAGAGAUUCAUUCCUUAUCUUUGACGAACAUCUGAACUCCUGGCUCAUCCUGUGGAAUUCAGGCCAUACAGGAGAUCAAGGUCAUUUGCUUUGGGUUAAAUGAAUGUUGCCAGGUGGAGGUUGCUAGAGGGAGAGUGCUAUGUGAAAGUGCUGUAUAAACUGCUUGCUUUUCACAAACAGUAGUGAUUCUUUAUCCUGUCCAGCCUGCCACAACUGGACCAUCCUGUAUGUAAGUCCCCUUAAUAAAUCCUGUGUCUCAUUCA
rnacentral:lncRNA from 1 species